UACGGAGGGUGCAAGCGUUAUCCGGAUUCACUGGGUUUAAAGGGUGCGUAGGUGGGUCUGUAAGUCAGUGGUGAAAGCCCUUCGCUUAACGAAGGAACUGCCAUUGAUACUGCAAAUCUUGAGUACAUUUGAUGUGGGCGGAAUGUGUCAUGUAGCGGUGAAAUGCUUAGAUAUGACACAGAACACCGAUUGCGAAGGCAGCUCACAAAACUGUAACUGACGCUGAGGCACGAAAGCGUGGGUAUCAAACAGG
rnacentral:rRNA from 1 species